UUAAUUUUACAAUGAAAAUGUAAGGUUUUUCUUAAACUAUACUAAAGAAAUAAGAACAAAUUAUUUGCUCU
rnacentral:tRNA from 1 species